AAAGGACUUUAGAAAAUGUCAAAAUAACAGUCGUCAGUUCUUUUAUUUACACUUUUAAGUUGGUUGUUUAUCCGAUUCGGUCUAGAUCAAGCUUUAAAAAUGAGCAAUUUAUUGAUUUGUAAAAGUGGAUUUUUUUGUGCCAAACGCCUCUUCAUUACAACUAGAUGUCUUAACAAAGCUGUUACAGAGAUACUGCCUGUGCCAAACAAUAUAGAUGUUGCUGAAACUACCAGAUUUUCCCCUCGAAGAAACCGAGACAUUUCAGCUACAGCCAUUUUAGCUCACAAACAGUCCGCAGCGUCCUCAUCUCGUCUGAAUAGCUCGCAGAUGUUGUCUGGUAAAAAAAUACUAUAUGAUCUGCACACACAAUCGUACGAUUGUUUUGGUACAAUCAAUCUCAAUUCGGCAAUGCAAAGUAAUGUCCCCACACCCUGCAGUGGUAUAGAUGCUGUUUCACAUUUGAACAUGCCUCGUGGUCAACUGGCGCAACAAUGCAAGUUUAUGUCACACAAUUUGCAGAACUCUCACCAUACAACGCUGAGACAAAAUACACGUUCGGGGUGGUCCACGUACGAUAAACAUGCUGUCAUUCAAUAUAAAGGAAACCGCCGUCACACCCUAAGGGUUACCUUGUGCUCCACCUUGAAUAUGCGGCAACUGGUAUUACCUACACAUACAUUUCCCCAAUCUAAUACACGGGUAUUGCAGUAACUGUCAAUUUGUGGGAAAGGCUGACACUACCGGCACUUCUAUUCGUUUCUUAGUUUCAAGGAUGAGGCAACAAAACAACGAACAUUGCUGAGGAUAAUUCGCAAGGGACGAUGUGCGUAAUACCAAAUUCAUAACGUGGGGAACUCCCACACCCUGGAUUCUCCAAGCCGGGCAUGGAUUCCCUGAUAGAAACAUUCCAAUACCCCUCGAAGUUCCAUGAAAAACGGAAACCGCCGUCACACCCUUUAGGUCCUUUUUCAUAAGAAAAUUUAAUUCUAGGUUACCUUGUGCUCCACCUUGAAUGUGCGGCAAAUGGUAUUACCUACACAUAAAUUUCCCCAAUCUAACACACGGGUAUUGCAGUGGCUGUCAAUUUGUGGGAAAGGCUGACACUACCGGCACUUCUACCGGCAAAGAACAGAUGUAACACUGCAUGGACUUGGAGGAGCAGUCGUCGGUGAGCGACAAUAAAGCAGUGACAGAGGAUGACUUUUGUAUGUCAAAUUAUGGCUCAACAACGUCGUUAGCGAGUGAUGGCCGGUUCAUGGUCAGACUUCCCUUCAGGGAAGACGUUGAAUUAGGAGAUUCACGUAAAAGAGCUAUGGCAAGAUUUUUGAACAUAGAAAAAAAUUAUGCGCCAACCCUGAACUAAAAAUGGAAUACCAACAGUUUAUGGAAGAAUAUAUUAGCAUGGGGCAUAUGGAACGAGUUGAGCCGGAAAUACGGGGAAAAUACUACCUUCCCCAUCAAGCUGUCAUCAGAGAAAGCAGUAUAACUACAAAAGUAAGAGUGGUGUUUGAUGCGUCUUCCAAGACAUCAAAUGGAAGAAGCUUGAACGAUAUUCUCUACGCUGGAGCAAAAUUGCAGAGAGAUAUUUUUGAUAUCCUUACAAAAUGGGGGAAACAUCAGUUCGUCAUAAGUUCAGACGUGGAAAACAUGUACCGACAAAUUUGGGUACAUAAAGAUGACCAAGAAUACCAAUAUGUAUUGUGGAGAUCCAGCAGCGAAAGCCCAGUAGAACAAUACUGAUUAACGACAGUGACGUACGGUACGGCAUGUGCGCCGUUUUUUGGCGUUAAAGACGCUUGACGAAAUUGGAUCUCAAUGUGAAGAUAAAGACAUUGGCGCUAUUAUCCAAAAUGAUUUCUACAUGGACGAUGUGUUAACCGGAGCAGAUUCUAUUUCAAGAUGUAAAGAAUUACAGGAGAAAAUAAAUAAACAUCUAGCAAAAUAUUGAUUUCAGCUACGGAAAUGGAUUUCAAACGAUAGUGAAGUCCUAAAAAGCAUAGACGCUAAAAGAGAGAAUGAUGUAAGUCACAUAGAAGAAGAUGAUUGCCUUAAAACGUUGGGGCUGAAAUGGUAUCCAGCAAGUGACACAUUUGGAUUUACAACGCAACUUUACAAUGGACAACGGACAACCAAGCGGAAAGCGCUGUCCUAUUUGGCCAAAAUCUUCGAUCCAUUAGGAUGGCUAACACCAAUAACAACAACGUCGAAGCUUUUUAUUCAACAACUAUGCGUAAUGGAUAUUGGAACAAUAACGGCGAAGCUUUUUAUUCAACAACUAUGGGUAAUGCAUAUUGGAUGGGAUAAUCUACUAAUAGAGGAGCUGAAUAAACAAUGGAGAGGGUUCACGAGUAAGCUAAACUCACUAAUUUCGAUUCGAAUACCUCGAUGGUUGCACGUAUCCAGCACAACUGCAUGGAUUCGAGGAUGCAUCGGAAAAGGCUUUUGUAGCCGUAGUUUAUGUUAAAGAAACCGCCGUUACACCCUAAGGGUUACCUUGUGCUCCACCUUGAAUAUGCGGCAACUGUUAUUACCUACACAUACAUUUCUCCAAUCUAAUACACGGGUAUUGCAGUGACUGUCAAUUUGUGGGAAAGGCUGACACUACCGGCACUUCUAUUCAAUUCUUGGUACAAAGGAUGAGGCUUCUCAGUAAGUUGCUGCCGCAACCACAGUUAAAAUACUGGGCAAAAGACAAAUGCGCUGACCCCACUUUUGGGAUAUUUGAGGCCAGUGAUGUUGGUGAUUUUGUUCGGGAAAUUCUAUGGCAACAAAGACUUUGUAUUAUACUCAUUUCCCAUGGUUGAUAUAACUUACUUUGGUCGUUAUUUCCACAAAAUAAAUAUAAAAGAACACCA